AUAAGAUGAGAUGGUAUCUUUUCCCCACUCCCCAUCUCUCCUUCUUGUAUUCAUCCGGCGAACCAGAACCUCGCCGCGGUUGCCGUCUCUGUUGGUUCCAGAUCUGAAAACGCAGUGGGACCAGACCCUUCUUCCGGCGAUUCAAAACAAAAAUCAGAGAACUCAUCUUCCUCUUUGUUUCAGAUUAACAGCGAGCGGUAUUUGAAUGACGGUGGAGGUUCCAAAAUGUUGGAGAUGAGUCCACGAAGAAGAAGCUCAAAUUCCAGGAACCUAAUGGCCAGGAUUUCGAAAUCCAGUUUUGAUACUUAAUGGCCUUGACAUUUUCAUUCAUUCCAAGUGGUCUGGAAUGCUUUUAAGAGUAAAGACUAUCGUCAUAAACUAACACAGGGUCAUAAACACAGUGCAGAAUUCAUUCUCUUGAUGCUCUUAUUCUUGAACAGACCCUUUUUUCAACUGCACUGCAAUUACUUGAUAUUUGAUUGGAUGAUUCUUUUGUUUCUCCCAGUCA